UACGGAAGGGGCAAGCGUUGUUCGGAAUCAUUGGGCGUAAAGGGCGCGUAGGUGGUUUUGUGUGUCUACCGUGAAAGCGUACGGCUCAACCGUAUUUUGUCGGUAGAAACUGCAGGACUUGAGGCUGGGAGGGGCUGGUGGAAUUCCCUGUGUAGCGGUGAAAUGCGUAGAGAUGGGGGAGAACACUCGUGGCGAAGGCGGCCAGCUAGACCAGUUCUGACACUGAGGCGCGAUAGCGUGGGGAGCAAACAGG
rnacentral:rRNA from 1 species